UGCUUUUCUUGUUGAGUAAACUAUCAAGCGAUGGUUUCGCACUUUGUACUUAACGUGUAUAUUGCAAAGACGUUAAUUAAAGAGGUUUUCAAUUUUGUUCGGACUUCAAACAUGUUUUUGAUGAUACAAAAUGAAAAACAAUAGCAGGGUAAUAGACUAGAGAUGGUUAAACCGUUCACUAAUGAUGAAGUGGAAAGAUUAACCUUCUAACUCUUAUAGUCUGACGUGAUGAAAUCCUCUUCUUGAGGUUCAGUAAGCAUGCUAUCAUCAUUUCUAAGUAAAUCAAUAGGCUUCUGUGGUUGUGAAUGUGUUUACUUUGGUAUGCUAAAUAUAGCUAAAUUAACCUCAAAAGUUUAAAUCAUUCACACAUAUGCAAAACAUGUGCAAUACAUAUCCUCAUUUAGCUGCAUAAAUGUGUGUGUAAUAUAGUGCUGGUUUCAUGUCGAGUACGGUGAAGAACUCCUGUAUGAAUGAAGUACACAAUCUGCCAGCUGGCCCUAAAGCUAACAGACCUGCAGAUGAACAGUUUACACACGGAGAGACUCUCUUGUGUUACAUACACAGCUACUGACCGCACACACCUCAGUUUUCCAGACAGAAAUUUCACAAAAAAGAGUGUGAUGUAUGAAAACACUGGGUUUCUACCAACACUCAUCGAUUUUUUAUCUUUUGGUCAGUCAAUGCAUCAAAAUCUCAAAGAAUUGUACCGAUUAAGUAUCUUAACCUAUGGAUUACAGUGAAAAGUAUCUAAGCAAAUCAGCCUUUUCUCACUGUGUGUAUCUUCAUAGAUGGAGUAUGACUCUGGACCUGAGCUGGUGACUGAUGACCCUCCUGCUAAAGACAUCAGUGCACUGCUGAUCAAAGACUAUCAUGUGACAGGCGAUCACAUCGAUCUCAGGGAGUUCUACUUUUCAAACCAAGAGCACUACCGUGAGAUAGAGCAGCUGAAGAAGGCUAAUCUCCAAACCAUGGCCGAACUUGAACUCAUGUAUCGCAAGAAACUGGACCUCAAAGGGGUGGAGGAGCUUACCGAGUGCCAGAAGAAGUUCCACGCCUGUCCGGCGUCUGCGCACGUGCGCCUCCCGCUGUACGAGGACCUGCAGGAGCAUGACGAGGAGCGCCGACGACUUUAUCGGGAGAUGGAGCAGCAGUGUCUCCACACCUCGCAAAGACCCUUCAGCUUCCUGGAGCGCGAACGGCUGAAGAAAGACCAGAAGGAGGCCAAGCUCCACGAGCAAAUGCUCAAACACAACAAAAGAGGAAUGGAGGAGAGGAGGAAAUGCCCAUUCAAGGCCAAACCCAUCCCAUGCGUGGAGCAGCAGAAGGAGGAGGAGCUCUACAGGGCCAUCAAGAUGUAG
rnacentral:lncRNA from 1 species